rnacentral:rRNA from 1 species
AAACCAGCACCUCAAGUGGUCAGGAUGAUUAUUGGGCCUAAAGCAUCCGUAGCCGGCUCUGUAAGUUUUCGGUUAAAUCUGUACGCUUAACGUACAGGCUGCCGGGAAUACUGCAGAGCUAGGGAGUGGGAGAAGUAGACGGUACUCGGGAGGAAGUGGUAAAAUGCUUUGAUUUCUCGAUGACCACCUGUGGCGAAGGCGGUCUACUAGAACACGUCCGACGGUGAGGGAUGAAAGCUGGGGGAGCAAACCGGAUUAGAAACCCCGGUAGUCC